rnacentral:rRNA from 1 species
CCUACGGGAGGCAGCAGUGAGGAAUAUUGGUCAAUGGUCGAGAGUCUGAACCAGCCAAGUAGCGUGAGGGAGGAAUGCCCUACGGAUUGUAAACCUCUUUUAUCAGGGAAUAAAGUGUUGCACGUGUCUGCUGUUGUAUGUACCAUAUGACUAAGGAUCGGCUAACUCCGUGCCAGCAGCCGCGGUAAUACGGAGGGACCGAGCGUUAUCCGGGUUUAUUGGGUUUAAAGGGGGCGGCGGUGGAUUGUUAAGUUCGUUGUGAAAGUUGGGGGGCUAAACCCAAGACUGCAGUUGAAACUGGCAGUCUUGAGUAGAAGAGAGGUAGGCGGAAUGCGUGGUGUAGCGGUGAAAUGCAUAGAUAUCACGCAGAACUCCGAUUGCGAAGGCAGCAUACUGGCCUGCCACUGACGCUGAGGCUCGAAAGUGUGGGUAUCGAACAGGAUUAGAUACCCUGGUAGUC